AAGAUCUGUGAAAAAAACCAAGAACAAGCAUUUCAAGCAUGACAAGCACUGUGUUCUGACCACUGACUUAUAAUUUCAGUAUCAGGAAUUGCCCUUUAAAAUAUUUUGAAAACAAAUGUUGUAAGACUGUUAUUCUGUAGGCUCUGAUCAUAAUUCAGCCAUGCAAAGAGCUUUGGCAGCACUGUCAAGAAGUUUGUGCCUGCCUUUUGCUCUCCCAUAGCAACUUGCUUCCAAGACUACACUGCAAGCCAGAUAUAGAUGAAAUAGAACCGUGUCCAAGAUAGCCUGGUUGUGCUGCAGAAGAGGAAUAAAGAGCUACUGGCCAGAGGUCAGAAGCUUACAGCAGAGAUUUUUAUCACAUGUAUCUCUGAACCCUGGUUUCACUAUGUGAUCUGUACCAAAUUGUGAGAGACUGGAUAAGAAGAAACUCUUGGCUAAUGUGCUCAGUGUUGAUAUAAAAAUUUUACAUUAUCACUGGGUCACAAAGUGCAUAUCUAUUUCAGCCAUCAUGACUAUUCACCUCAUUUGCACAAGUGGCUCUCAAAGCAACUAGGAAAUUGGCAAUACGCCCCCUUAAAGAACUUCUCAGGCUGUAUUAUAUUGUAUUAUAGACCAAGGUGAUGAGUCAUUUCCUGUAAAACAAUUCCUUUUCUCUCACUGACUUUACAUGCAGGUACUACAAAUGAAAGCAGAUGGUGUUUUUCUCCCCCAAGUAAUUAAAAUCCAGUAUUACUAUGAACUUACAAGAGCAGAAACGCUGAUUCCUCCUGCAGAUUCACCAGCAAUAGUGACAGAUCCUGGAUCACCUCCAAAAUGCAUGAUAUUUUCCUGAAUCCACUGAAGAGCUGCUACUUGAUCUAAAUACCCCCAGUUACCUCGGGCAUGCUUAUCACCGGUGCU